rnacentral:lncRNA from 1 species
CCAUCUUUGAAUCAGUUUUCUUGUGCUGGAUCCUUUACAAGUUUUCCUUUCUCACAAUGUUGAGGUCCAACCUGGGAUGUAGGAGCCGGAGAGAGCCUGCGAAACAUAUCACCAAGUGCAGAACACAGUGUGAGCUGCAGAUGGGCCGGCCAUGCCUUUGACCAGUGGCAGCAGGCUAGCGGGAUGGAGAACCCUGGUCUGGAGAAUCACACAGCAACUAAGUAAUGGGAACUCUAAGAAAAAGCCUAGCAGCAAAGACAAAUCACAGUGGACUCUGCAGACUGCCAGGGGUGAGUGCUAUGGAGUGCUGCUGCUUUUGAGGAGGCCGGAGGCUAUGGAUAAGGAGCAGAGGAGAGACUGGCUGUCCAGGGAGCAGCAGGGCUCUUCUCCUGUGUUACAGGGAUCUCCAUCUAUUAUCAAAAGAACAUCCAUUAUCACAGCUAUUAAUUUGUGCUUUUUAUAAAUAAAUCAGGUAUUUUAAAUAAAUCAAUCCAAUUCACACAACUGCGAAGAAACACUUUCAUAUAUUUCCUAGGUAUUCAGGGGAGAAUUUAAUGACAAAGUGGACAGAGGCUGGGCAGCCUCAGAGUAACAGUGCGGAGUCCUAGGUUCACUGGAGGAGCGACAGUAUGACCAGUACGAGGUUGGGUCCUUACACCUUCCACGCCUGGCCUUAAGUCUGUGUCCCAUGAAGGGCCAUUUGCAAUAUUAGAACUCACCUACCCAUAAUCGCUUCAAGAAGUUUACAUUCAAGACUGAAAAAAAAUAUGAUUGUUGAUAAAAACACACAAUUCUAUCUAAAAACC